AGGCCAGGGUAAUGAGGGGGGACUCUUUACCCAGGACCCUGCCCACUGGCCUUCCUCUCUUCCAAACACAGGUUCCGGCAUGCCCAGGUGUGCAAGGCCUCAGCACUGAAGCAUGGUGGGGAUCUGGCACAAGACCCAGCCUGGACAGAGAUCUUUGGUGUUCUCUCUGUGGCCACCAUCAAGUUUGAGAUGCUGAGCACAGCCCCACAGAGUCAGCUCUUCCUGGCUCUGGCUGACAGCAGUAUCUCCACGAAGGGCACAAAGAGUGGCACCUUUGUCAUGUAUAAUUGUGCCCGUCUUGCCACACUCUUUGAGAGUUACAAGUGUAGUAUGGAACAAGGUCUGUACCCCACUUUUCCUCCUGUGAGCAGUCUGGACUUCUCACUGCUACAUGAUGAGUAUCCUCCCCUUUCCGGAUCUGCUGAGCCGGACAGCAGUGCUGGACUGCACAGCCCCGGGGCUCCACAUUGCUGUACGCACAGAGAUGAUAUGCAAGUUCCUGGUACAGCUCAGCAUGGAUUUCAGCUCCUACUACAACCGGGUACACAUCCUGGGGGUGAGCACACAGCAAAACGGGGUGGGACGUGCAGAGGGGUACAGGGUAAAGGCAAAGGAAGCAGAGGAUGAGACCAGCAGGCCCUUUCUCUUUCAGGAGCCUCGACCACACCUCUUUGGUCAGAUGUUCGUCCGCCUGCAGCUUCUGAGAGCUGUGCGUGAGGUGCUCCAUACUGGCCUGGCUAUGCUGGGUCUCCCUCCACUGAGCCACAUCUAAGGCCACAGAGGCUCCAAUACCUGGGAAUGUUCACAAAGUCAUCAACUGGAAAAAAAGCAAAAACUCACGGCCAAAAUAAAUUGGUACUGUUUGUUACAAAGUUCUGUCUUGUCAUGGGGAGUGGGGCAUAUUCUUUUGGCAGCACUCCACUCACCUUCAGCUCCUGCACCGACAUCAGGAACCCACGGCCACCACCUCCUCCCCUCAAGGCAUGCUGAGCAUGGGCACAAACAGCCCAUCCCUGCUCCAUGCUGUCUGUGAGCAGGCCCCAUGCCCAGCACGCCAGCCACCGCAGGAUACCUCAGUCGUACCAGUUGUAAACCUCAAGCCCCUGACCCCCAAGGGCACAACGGUGGCCAAACUCAGGGCUCACAGGCCAGCAGUCCAUGUCAGCCACAUCAGGCACAUGGAAUACAGUGCUAUUCAUGAAGGUGGGUUCACCAUGCCCCAGACGCCAGAAGGUCAGCCGUUGAUCAAUGGAGGCUGAGACCAUGAUGCUUGGGCUUAGGAUCUUGAGGCCUGUCACAUGGGCAGCAUGUGCACAGGGGACAGAGUAUUCCUCUAGCACACGCAGCUGAGGUACCAGCCCAGCCUCUCCCACAGCCUCUUCUAGCUGUAGCAUCUCCACAGCAAGCACGAAGACAUGGAGGGAUCCAUCUUCACUGCCACUGGCCACGAGAUGGUGGCCCUCACGGGUGGGCAAGGUGUGCAGGCUGUUGAUACCACAGCUGUGGGCCUGGAGAGUCAGGGAGGGGGUGCCAAGCCCUGAAGGAAGAGGAAGAGGGUAGUUGUCAGGGCCCCGCCUGCCACAUGUGUGAGGGCUAUGUGACAGGCGAGGAGGGGCAGCCAUGGUUGCACAUUAGCUACUCACGGUAGGGAAGCCCAGGAUCCACUGGAGGCUCCAGGACAGAGGAUUCAUGGUCUAGCAUGGUGGUGAGAUCCCAGAAGGCCAGGCUGCCAUCAGUAGCUGCGCUGCACAGGAGGAGCCUCCUGAGAGCCAGGAAAAGACAGCCUGGUCAAUAACAGAGAUGAAGCUCAACAGGAACCCCCCCCCCCCCCACCCAGCCCAUGCAGGACCAUCAUCCAGCCCCUCUCACCGCCUCUGGUUGGGUGCCUCGUGUGUAAAGGAGUGGACCUUGAGGACACAUCGCUUAUGGUGGAAGGUUUCAGCAAGGAGCUGCAGAAUCCGCCCAGAAUCCUGCAAAAGAAAGAGCCUGGGGGGCGGGGGGUGGCCCAGUUCAGAACGCAUCCUAGCCAACCUUACUUCCUUUGUCUCCUGUCCCACUGGGCCCUAUGCUCUCACCUUACGGCCCCAUCACUACAGGCUGCAGCCACAAGGGGGCCAAGGCUGGGCUGGUCAAGUUCACACACAGCAAGGGACAUGUACCUGCAGAGACAACAUGCAGCUGUCAGGUGGAGCCUGCAAGCCUGGGAGCAUCUGCAUGACCCAUACCACACCCUGCCCAGGAGCAUAUAUUACCUGGUCUCUGGGUCUACCUUAACCAUCCGAUGCCGAUUGCGUUGCCGGUCCCAAUACUCAUCUAGCCGGUGGGACGAAAGGUGCAUGACAUGGCAGGCGAGGCGGCUUGGGGUGCUGGGGUCCGGAGUAACCAUGAUGCUGAAGCAGUGCAUCUCAGCCCGCCCCCCGGCAGACACCACAUGGGCAGUCAGGCCUGGCUGAGGAUCCUGAGGGCCACCUGGGGUGCCAAUGCCCCACACAGCCACAGCACGUACCGAGGAGAUAUGGUUACAAACAGCUGUGAGUGCGUGGGCUGAGCCUGUGGUUGUAGGGAGUGCUAGGACACAGACAGUAGUGUCCUCACUACAUGUGAUCACAAUGUCAGUCAAGUCGGGCCCCUCACUGCCAGGCUCCAGGUCAUCAGGCUGCAUGAAGCUGGGCACUCCAUAUUCAGGCCCCAGGGUAAUGGUGCCCACACGCUUUACACAAGUGAUCUCACGGCC
rnacentral:lncRNA from 1 species